GGACGAAAGUCUGACGCAGCGACUCCGCGUGAGGGAUGACGGCCUUCGGGUUGUAAACCUCUUUUGCUCCGCCACAUGGCGGAGAGAAUAAGCACCUGCUAACCACGUGCCAGCAGCCGCGGUAAUACGUGGGGUGCGAGCGUUAUCCGGAUUUACUGGGCGUAAAGAGUUCGUAGGCGUUUUGCCAAGUUUUGUUUGAAAGACCGAGGCUCAACUUCGGAAACGGACGAAAUACUGGCAGAAUCGAGUUAGUUAGGGGGUACUGGAACUAUCAGUGUAGCAGUGAAAUGCGUUGAUAUUGACAGGAACACCAAGGGCGAAGGCAGGUACCUGGGACUUAACUGACGCUGAGGAACGAAAGCUAGGGGAGCGAAACGGAUUAGAGACCCGUGUAGUCCUAGCCGUAAACUAUGUACGCUUGAUCCUUGAUUUCCGCCUUUGGCGGAGCUGGGGGUUGGAGCUAACGCGUGAAGCGUACCGCCUGGGGAGUACGACCGCAAGGUUAAAACUCAAAGGAAUUGACGGGGAAGUGCACAACCAGGGGAGCAUGUGGUUCAAUUCGAUACGAAGCGAAGGACCUUACCCAGANNCGAAACGAGCGCAACCCUUAUCGCAUGUUCAAUAGUCUUGCGAAACUGCCUUGCGUAUAGCGGGGAGGAAGGAGGGGAUGACGUCAAGUCAGCAUGGCGCUUAUGUCUGGGGCCACACACAUCCUACAAUGGGGAGUAACAACGGGUUGCCAAGCCGCAAGGCGGAGCUAAUCCCAUCAAACCUCCCCCCAGUUCAGAUUGAGGGCUGCAACUCGCCCUCAUGAAGACGGACUUGGUAGUAAUCGCGGAUCAGCAGGCCGCGGUGAAUACGUUCUCACUUCUUGUACACACCGCCCAUCAAGCCAGCAAAGUCGGCAAUACCUGAAACUC
rnacentral:rRNA from 1 species